CUUAUCUCCGAAUCGAACGCCACCGCACAGGCGAGCGUUACAGACGUCGUCUGUGGAGGCGGAUCGGGACUAUGUGAGGUGCCAAUACAUGAAUAGUAUUCUAUACCCUCGCUCCAACUGACCGUACACCAAGGAUACGGCAUAGUAGAAAGUGGAAGACGUUUCCCAGUAGUCCUCACCACAGCCUGACAGUUACUAGGAAGAAAGACUUGACACAUCUAGAGUCGAAUCAAACUGAGAACCGCAUUGGCAGCUGCUGGUCUGAUGCAACAGCCAGCGUGAAUGUUGCUUUUAGGUAUUAUUAUACCUUUGUCCAGGCAAUUUCGUGCUGCGCCUCAGUAGGAAAACAACAGAAAAAAACCGAAACGCACGUAAGCUUACGUCGUUCACAUGCAGAUGGCGUAUAGGGCUUUCCUCCUAGGCGUUUGUGGCUGCAUGACGGGCAUCUGUCGAGAGAAUUACAAUGAAACCACUUUCCCUUUGGUGGCUAGGUUAUUUCCCGUCGGUAGCAGGCACUAUCACAGGAAAUACAAAACACUAAAGCAAAAGGAUGGGAUCACUCUGAAGGUUAGGUUCCUUCAGAAGAAUGGAAAUUUUAUUUAGCAGCGCAUGAAUGAUCUGUAUUACCGGCUAUAAAAAAAAUGCUGAGGUACUAAAAAUAUAUCCAUAAUUUUAAUAAUCGCUGACCCUCUUUUCUGUACAUGGAUUACGUAAUUUCAGCGUCCGUCAAACUCAACAUUACACAGUAGCUGGACUCCUCGUACAUGUGUACUUGAUAAAAAUGCAGCUGUUAUAAUUAUUUACGCACGGAGAGUAGAAAACUAAAACGAACUUGGCCUCAUGGAACGUCGGGUUGAUGUGGGAACACGGUGCAGACAACUAUUGCUAUCGUUGCUGACGUAAUCACGCUGAGGUAUCGCGCUGUCGCCACCAACCUUGCGUCAGCGAAGGUCUUUGCAAAAAGAAUAGUCGUAAACACGACCGCCUUCACCCACAACGCUUGCGCUCAAGUUACUUUAGCAGCUUGUUCUCGGACUAACCGAGUGAGAAGGCGGCCAACGGCUGGCUCCUUACCUGUGCCGAAGGUCUCCUUGUUGAGGUGCUUCCAGCCGAGAGAGACCUUGGUUUCCAUGGCAGCGGCGGCGGCAGCGGCAGGGGACGCCUCGCAACGAAGAGCGGCGCUGGCAAAGUCUGCGGCAGCGAAUGGUGGUGGUGGUGGCGGCGCGACCUCGGCUAACCUACGCCGCCGACUCUAUCAAGCGGGCAUGCCGCGGCCAGGCGCCGACCUCCGCCACACACAGAGCGCAGCACGCGCUCGACACAUAUCUGCCCACUGGCCGGCACACAACUGCUCUCCUCACAAAUCACAAUCUUUCCCAAUUUACCGCCGUCCCUGUCGCGAAGCUCACGCUUCAGCUCCGACACACGCGCACAUACUCAGCUAAUAGCUCCACACCUCCUUACACUCAGCCGCCACUGUGGAGAGUCGGAGGGUACAACUACUUCCAUAAGUUCAAUUCACCAAUUGAGCGUGAGAAAGUGGUACCAGUCUUUAGUUACUUUCAUUGUCGCUACAGGAAAACAACGUGACAUAAGAAGCUGAAGAACUUUUUCUUUGGGACUUUUUUAAACUAUUAACUGGUAUUUCAUCUACAGGUCACGAGAAGUGGCAUCAUUACCGGUUUCGAUCUUAUUACCAAGUCGUCGUUAGAUGAAGAGUGGAAAUGUCAACACUAUAAGUGCCAUUUCUCCAUAAAACGCGUUUUCAAAUUUGUUGCGAUUUCCGUACUCUGUAGCACGUCCCUAGACUCGUUCCAAGUUCCAAAUCAUGGAGAAAAUGUUGCGAACAUUUGUCACUAGAUGGCGCAUGGUCCUUGUACGGAACAGUGCUUCCCUCUGGAGUUCGAAGUAUCAAUAUCCUCCAAUUCCAUGCACAGUUUGUGUGGUAAUCAGAGUGCAUGUAAACUGUUGUUUGUAUCAGUAUAACAUCUUUGUAAUGGAAAGACAUACUUUGGGUUUCAAAAAUAGUAAAAAAAAAGUUAGAGAACGAACACAAAACAGCGUGUGUCUGGAAAAUGUUACGAAAGCCAUUUCUUCCUUAGAAGUGCAGGAAGUUCAGCAGUAAACUUGACAUCUCACCUCAAGCUGGCAGUGUGUAAGAAACAUACAUCAAUACUGAAAGUUUUUUUUCCUCAUAUUUAUUUUUCGCACUUCCUUGAAAAAAAAAUGUAAAAAUGUGAAAAAAUUUUUUUUUGUAACUAGAGUUCUACUAGUUAAAACAUUACUGCUCUAUCCCUGUACUUGUAUUAUCACAAAUAAAACUUUGGUGCUUCAUUAUUAAUGGCA